rnacentral:rRNA from 1 species
ACGAACGCUGGCGGCGUGCUUAACACAUGCCAGUCGUACGGGCCCGCUCUCUUUUUUGGGGGUGGGUUGAGUGGCGAACGGGUGAGUAUUACGUGAGUAACCUGCCCCCUGCUCCUGGAUAACUGCUUGAAAGGGCGGCUAAUACGGGGUGUGCCGGCUGGUUCGCAUGGGCCUGGUCGGGAUUGUUUCAUCUUCGGGUGUUUCGGUUGGGGAUGGGCUCGCGGCUUAUCCGCUUGUUGGUGGGGUGAUGGCCCACCAAGGCGGUGUCGGUUAGCCGGCCGGGGAGGAUGAGCAGCCACACUGGGAGUGGGACACGGACCAGAAUAAUGAGGGAGGCAGCAGUGGGGGGUAUUACCCAAUGGGCGAAAGCAAGAUGCAGCGACGUCGAGUGAGGGAUGGAGGCCUUCGGGUUGUGAACCUCUUUAUCCGGUGGUGAAGGCCCUGUCCGUAGCAGCGGGAUUGACGGUAGCAGGGUAUGAAGCGCCAGCUAACUACGUG